CCAGCUCUCUGCCGAGGCAGAAUCGGCUGCCUCCGGGGGCGGCCGGGGCGCCCCGGCAUCUGCUCAUCUUCCAGGCAGCCUGGGACCCUCGCGGGAUGGGGCUCAAGACCAGACCCUUCCCCCCAAAAGAGAUUCCAGCCACUUGUCGGGCGACUGGCAGGAACCGUCACUCCCGGAUAUGUGGAGAAGUCCUUACUUCAAAGAGUCUGUCCCACUGGCAGACCAAAGUUCUGAUUUGUAAUUUGCAAUUUGAAAAAAACCUCACCAGAGCCUAGAGGGUAACCUGCUUGCGUAUGUAUAUAUGUAUGCAUGUAUGCAUUCAUGCAUUAUUUAUUUUAAAGGAGCCGGCUGGGGAGCCAGAAAGGCCAACAGGACACUGCCUUCAGGCAGUUGGCAGUGCACCCUUGCUGUGUCUCAGCUCUCCAGGAUAAUCCUACACCCAGAGGGAUUGGUGCUUUCCAUUUUUGGUUAGCUGCUUGGAUCGCUGAUGUGGCACAGGUUCGGUCCCUGGCCUGGGAACUUCCACAUAGCACAGGCACUGCAAGGAAAUGAAGAAGGGUGGCAGGCGUGACGAUGGACUCAGGACAUGGGCUUCAGAACCAGACAUCCUUGCUGUUGAAUCCAGGCUCUUCCCAGUGGGGAACACGGGGAAGAAUGGAUGCAGUUACCACCUGUGUCCCCACAAAGGAUCUGUUCAGGGAAGCUGUGGGCUCUGGAGCCAGAGAGAGCCAGGAGGAAGGGGAAGGGAGGGGAUCUGCAUUUGUUUUUUUUUGUUUUUGUUUUUG